rnacentral:lncRNA from 1 species
GCAGUCAUUAAUUUUCUUUAUUGGGUUUUUGCUUGAGGACCGAGUCGCCUGCAGUGCGUCCAGCUCUGCACAGUAUCAGGCUUCCACAGUGACCCAAGGAUCUCAUAAAGCCUGUAUCAUGCUCCUUAUGAUACUCUAUUUUUUUUUUUACAGCAUUUGAUGGGUGAUUCUUACCAUCACGUGGUUCUUGGCAGCUGUGCCAAAGUGGGGUAGUGAAGCUAUUGAGAAGAAAUUCUUGCUGUUUCAUGCCAGUGCAUGGGGCAUCCCUGGAACGCUGACCAUCAUCCUUUUAGCGAUGAAUAAAAUUGAAGGUGACACUAUCAGUGGCAUGUGAUUUGUUGGCCUCUACGAUGUUGAUGCCUUGAGUUAUUUUUUUCUUGCACCCUCUGCCUGUAUGUGGUAGUUGGGGUUUCACUCCUUUUAGCCGGCAUUAUAUUUAGAAUGCGAGUUGAGAUUCCGAGAACCAGGAUAAACUGGUGAAGUUUAUGAUCCAGAUUGGUGUUUUCAGCACUCUGUAUCUCGUACCACUCAUGGUUGUAAUUGGAUGCUACUUUUAUGAGUAAGCUUACCACGGCAUCUGGGAAGCAACGUGGAUACAAGAACGCUGCAGAGAAUAUCACAUUCCAUGUCCAUAUCAGAUGAUUCUUACAGAGGAGAAUAACCAGGGAAAAAUACUAAUGGACAGGGUGCUUGAUGUACAUCACGAGCAAGAAAACAUGCCAAGCGCCAAUGGAAAGCGACCCUCCAACAGUUCUCUAAGCCAUGAGGAAGACCUGGCUAAGGUGAUCAAGCUCCAGGAAAUCAUAGAGAGGCAGUCAUGGGAGUAGAGCCAGAUGAAGGAGCGCCUGGCAGCCCUCUCUGCCCACGUGACAGAGCUGGAGGAGGACCUGGACACAGCCAGGAAGGACUUCCUGAAGUCCGAGGACGUGAACAGGAAACUGCAGCGGGAUGUCCGCAGAGACCAGCUGAUUCUAAACCUGGAAACCCUGAGAGCCGAAGUGGACCAGACGAGGCUGCGAGGGGCUCCCCUCCACCACGGCUCGACAGGCUCUCAGGACAGCCCUGGGAACAACCCCAGCAGCAGCACCAGCAGGCAGGACUCGCUGCACAAAGCCUGGAAGAAGAAUGGCAUCAAGUCCUCCAUCAGCCACUUGUUUCACAAGAAGGAAAAGGGCUGGCCUGAACACCCUGGCAAGGAGGCAUUAGGACCAGGUGAGUGUUUCACCAUUCAGAGGGAGGAGGGCCUGCAGGCAUGUCCCUUCUGUGUCUCCCCCUGUUAUCCCCACGAGGUUCCUGUCACUCACACUGGGGGUCCUCCUGGAAGCAGGAGAGGAGGAGGUGUCUGUCUUCUCAAUGGGUCUGUGAUGAUCGGAUGA